UUGGUCAUCAUGAUUGUCUGGAUCUUCUAACAGGCCUUUGCCUUUAUCUAGCCUAGCUACUGCAGCUCUCAUUUUAUCCAUAUGUUCUUUAUGUUCUUUAUCCUGCUUUCCUAUGUCUUCUAGAGCUAUUCUUGUUUCUAGAGCAUCUACUCUUUGUUUUAAAUAUUUUAAUUCUAAUUUAUCUAAUUUCUGUUCUAAGGUUGGUUCUACCCAUCCGUAG
rnacentral:lncRNA from 1 species